CAGAGGUCCCAAGCGUUGUUCGGAUUCACUGGGCGUAAAGGGUGCGUAGGUGGUCGGGUAAGUCUGAUGUGAAAUCUCCGAGCUCAACUCGGAAACUGCAUCGGAUACUAUUCGGCUUGAGGGUUGGAGGGGGGACUGGAAUUCUCGGUGUAGCAGUGAAAUGCGUAGAUAUCGAGAGGAACACCAGUGGCGAAGGCGAGUCCCUGGACAACUCCUGACACUGAGGCACGAAAGCUAGGGGAGCAAACAGGAUUAGAUACCCUGGUAGUCCUAGCCGUAAACGGUGCACGUUUGCUGUAAAAGGAAUCGACCCCUUUUGUGGCGAAGCUAACGCGUUAAACGUGCCGCCUGGGAAGUACGGUCGCAAGAUUA
rnacentral:rRNA from 1 species